GGUUGCCAAGAAAAGCCUCUAAGCAUAACUUCCCAGCGCUCGUACCGCAAACCGACACUGGUAGAUGGGUAGAGUAUACCAAGGCGAACGGGAGAACUCUCGUUAAGGAAUUAGGCAACAUGACCCCGUAACUUCGGGAGAAGGGGUACCCUCCUUAGUGUUAAAGCUUCGGAGGGUCGCAGUGAAAUGGCUCUGGUGACUGGUUAACAAAACCACAGGUCUCUGCUAAGCCGUAAGGCGAUGUAUAGGGGCUGACGCGUGCCCAGUGCCGGAAGGUUAAAGGGAGAGGUUAGCGCAAGCGAAGCUUUGAACUGAAGCCCCGGUGAACGGCGGCCGUAACUAUAACGGUCCUAAGGUAGCGAAAUUCCUUGUCGGGUAAGUUCCGACCCGCACGAACCGCGUAACAAUUAGAGCACUGUCUCGACGAGAGACCCGGUGAAAUUGAAAUGGCUGUGAAGAUGCGGCCUACCCGCAGCAGGACAAAAAGACCCCGUGGAGCUUUACUGCAGUUUGGCAUUGUAUUUGGAUAUGAUCUGUGUAGGAUAGGUGGGAGGCUUUGAAGCUGGCGCGCUAGCGUCGGUGGAGCCAAUGGUGAAAUACCACCCUGAUCAUGUUUAGAUCCUAACCCCAUUCCGUAAUCCGGAUGGGGGACCGUGCCAGAUGGGCAGUUUGACUGGGGCGGUCGCCUCCCAAAAGGUAACGGAGGCGCCCAAAGGUUCCCUCAGGUGGAAUGGAAACCCACCAUAGAGUGUAAAGGCAUAAGGGAGCUUGACUGUAAGGCCAACGCGCCGAACAGAGACGAAAGUCGGGCUUAGUGAUCCCACAAUACCGAGUGGAAGGGUUGUGGCUUACCGGAUAAAAGCUACCCCGGGGAUAAUAGGCUGGUGAGAUCCAAGAGUCCAUAUCGACGAUCUCGCUCGGCACCUCGAUGUCGGCUCAUCGCAUCCUGGGGCUGGACAAGGUCCCAAGGGUCGGGCUUUCGCCCGUUAAAGCGGUACGCGAGCUGGGUUCAGACCGUCGUGAGACAGGUCGGUCUCUAUCCGCUGUGGGCGUAAGGGAUUUGAAGGGAGCUGCUCCUAGUACGAGAGGACCGGAGUGGACAGACCUCUAGUGUGCCAGUUGUUCCGCCAGGAGCAUCGCUGGGUAGCCAUGUCUGGCAGAGAUAACCGCUGAAAGCAUCUAAGUGGGAAACUCGCCCUAAGAUUAGAUCCCUGUGACCCGUAAGGGUGUAAGACCCCAGGUAGACUACCUGGUAUAUAGGCAGCAUGUGUAAGCGCAGUAAUGUGUUAAGCUAAGCUGUACUAAUGGUCGAGGGCUUCC
rnacentral:rRNA from 1 species